CAGCACGAAAGAGCUUGCUCUUUUGGUGGCGAGUGGCGAACGGGUGAGUAAUGCAUCGGAACGUACCGAGUAAUGGGGGAUAACUAUCCGAAAGGAUAGCUAAUACCGCAUACGCUUUGAGAAGGAAAGUGGGGGCUCUUCGGACCUCACGUUAUUCGAGCGGCCGAUGUCCGAUUAGCUAGUUGGUGGGGUAAAGGCCUACCAAGGCGACGAUCAGUAGCGGGUCUGAGAGGAUGAUCCGCCACACUGGGACUGAGACACGGCCCAGACUCCUACGGGAGGCAGCAGUGGGGAAUUUUGGACAAUGGGCGCAAGCCUGAUCCAGCCAUGCCGCGUGUCUGAAGAAGGCCUUCGGGUUGUAAAGGACUUUUGUUAGGGAAGAAAAGGAUAGUGUUAAUACCAUUAUCUGCUGACGGUACCUAAAGAAUAAGCACCGGCUAACUACGUGCCAGCAGCCGCGGUAAUACGUAGGGUGCGAGCGUUAAUCGGAAUUACUGGGCGUAAAGCGAGCGCAGACGGUUUAUUAAGCAAGAUGUGAAAUCCCCGAGCUUAACUUGGGAACUGCGUUUUGAACUGGUAAGCUAGAGUAUGUCAGAGGGGGGUAGAAUUCCACGUGUAGCAGUGAAAUGCGUAGAGAUGUGGAGGAAUACCGAUGGCGAAGGCAGCCCCCUGGGAUAAUACUGACGUUCAUGCUCGAAAGCGUGGGUAGCAAACAGGAUUAGAUANCCUGGUAGUCCACGCCCUAAACGAUGUCAAUUAGCUGUUGGGGCACUUGAUGCCUUAGUAGCGA
rnacentral:rRNA from 1 species